UACGGAGGGGGCUAGCGUUGUUCGGAAUUACUGGGCGUAAAGCGCACGUAGGCGGCUUUGUAAGUUAGAGGUGAAAGCCCAGGGCUUAACCCUGGAAUUGCCUUUAAGACUGCAUCGCUAGAAUCGUGGAGAGGUGAGUGGAAUUCCGAGUGUAGAGGUGAAAUUCGUAGAUAUCAGGAGGAACAUCGAUGGCGAAGGCAGCCCCUUGGACCUGUACUGACGCUCAUGCACGAAAGCGUGGGGAGCAAACAGG
rnacentral:rRNA from 1 species